rnacentral:rRNA from 1 species
GACGAACGCUGGCGGCGUGCCUAAUACAUGCCAGUAGAACGCACAGUUUAUACCGUAGCUUGCUACACCAUAGACUGUGAGUUGCGAACGGGUGAGUAACGCGUAGGUAACCUGCCUGGUAGCGGGGGAUAACUAUUGGAAACGAUAGCUAAUACCGCAUAAUAUUAAUUAUUGCAUGAUAAUUAAUUGAAAGGUGCAAUUGCACCACUACCAGAUGGACCUGCGUUGUAUUUGCUAGUAGGUGAGGUAACGGCUCACCUAGGCGACGAUACAUAGCCGACCUGAGAGGGUGAUCGGCCACACUGGGACUGAGACACGGCCCAGACUCCUACGGGAGGCAGCAGUAGGGAAUCUUCGGCAAUGGACGAAAGUCUGACCGAGCAACGCCGCGUGAGUGAAGAAGGUUUUCGGAUCGUAAAGCUCUGUUGUAAGAGAAGAACGGGUGUGAGAGUGGAAAGUUCACACUGUGACGGUAUCUUACCAGAAAGGGACGGCUAACUACGUG